GUAAAUAUAGUUUAAUAAAAACAUUAGAUUGUGAAUCUAACAACAAAAGCUUAAACCUUUUUAUUUACC
rnacentral:tRNA from 1 species